CGCACCUGACAUGGUAUUGAAUCAAAGAUGAUUUAUUCAUACAAUGUAUAAAUAAAGGCUUCAAAACCAAAAAAAAGAUGGAUUUGUGGACUGCUGGCAUCAGUUGAAAGCUGCCCCCCUCUAUUUUCUACCACCUUUGAAUUGUGAAGACCCGCUGGGUUUGGUCCUUGACAUCUGGGCUCGUUCCAAUACAACCUCACAGAGACUUCUGAUAAUCAUCAGCUUUCUCAUACCUGGUGUUCACCAGCGUAGUAUAAUGGGGUCAAUACACUACAUGCAUCACAAGAAUCAAGACCAACGUGACCUUACCUGGCCAUGUGGGAACACAACCUUUCCCCCAUGUCCCAUGUCACAUGCUUGCUUUGCUAACUCAGUAAUUAAUUUCACACAUUUUUACAGUGAGAAGUAAAGAAACAAUCACUAAAUGAAUGAAGUAAAUCCUUUGCAGUUUGAAUUAUCGGUCACCAAAUCUUGAGAACUACAUUACAUUACAUUGAAAAGCACUUCAGAUAUCACUCUCAAACACACAUUACUAUGAUAAACCUAGCAU